UUCAACCCUAAUUUCCUGAAACAAAAAACCCAAAGUGCCUCACUUUCUCCUUCUCGACGGACAACAGUCGACUCUCCCACCUCACCCAGUCACCGUGCAUCCAUCUCAGCUCUCACCUGAGACGGCGGACACUGGGUUCUCAUCCAGUAGCCGCUACAAUCCAGCACUCACUGUUCUCUCAGCCGCGAAACUUGGAAGCAGCAAGCAUCAAUGUCCUGCAAGAGUUUUUCAGUUUUGAACAUAAACUAUCUCACCGCUUUAUCUAAGGUAUGUUCUUCAGGACGUUUCCCUCGUUCAGUCACACAUUUCAAGAAGUUUCUCAGCACUGCGGCUGAAAGGUGGGAUUAUGUUAGCCCUCAUAGCACCCGUCAGUUUGAGAAUCCUCCGUAUGAUACCCCAAGUUCACUAGGCUAUGAGCAGAAACAAAAUGGGCACGCCUUAAACACAAACCAAGGUUUUGAAGUAUGCCCUACGGGUGAUUAUGGGGGGACUCGGUACCGGAAAAAUCCACAAGAUAUCUAUAAGUUUACUUCUUAUGGUCAAGUGACAAAUAACACUUUUUCUUAUGGACAAGUAACAAGUAACGUUAAUUUUUAUGGUCAAGUAUCUGCUAUUUCCGACUCUAAGGAAGGGUUAACUGAGAUUUCUGAAACUAGCUCAAAUAAUGCUACGAUUGAGAUGCUGGAGGAAUUUUGCAAUAAAAGGAAUGUUAAAGAAGCAUUAGAAGUUUUGGGGUCGAUGAGACAGCAAGGUGUUCAUGUGGAUUUGACCCAAAUUUUACGCAUAAUGAAGGCAUGUGGAGAAGUGAAAGCUUUACCAGAAGCGAAAACUGUUCAUGAAUACCUCUUAGGAUCACUUUCACCUCUCAAGAUAAGCAUCUAUAAUAAGAUUUUAGAGAUGUACAUGAAAUGUGGUUCGACUGUUGAUGCAUUUGAUGUGUUUGACAAGAUGCCGAAGCGCAAUCUAACAUCUUGGGAUAUUAUGAUCACAUGGCUUGCUAGGAAUGGGAUAGGGGAGGAUGCCCUUGACCUGUUUUAUCAGUUUAAGCAGGCAGGCUUGAAACCAGAUGCCAAAAUGUUUGUUGCUGUGUUUUAUGCUUGUGGUGUUGUGGGCGAUAUUAAUGAGGGAAUGCUCCACUUUUCGUCAAUGAGCAGUGAUUAUGGCAUUGUCCCAUCCAUGGAGCAUUAUGUAAGCAUUGUUGACAUGCUGGGGAGUACAGGGCAUCUGGAUGAAGCAUUGGAAUUCAUUGAGAAGAUCCCAUUUGAGCCCAGUGCUGAUGUUUGGGAAACUUUAAUGAAUCUCUGCAGAGUUCAUGGGUACUUGGAACUUGGGGAUCGUUGUGCUGAGCUUGUGGAGGUACUAGAUCCCUCCCGCUUGAAUGAACAAUCAAAAGCAGGCCUUAUACCUUUGAAAGAUUUGGAUCUUCAACAUAAUGAGAAGAAGAAAUUGGCAAAUCAAAGUCCUCUUGAAGUCAGAAGCAGGGUCAAUGAGUAUCGUGCAGGAGAUACAUCACAUCCUGAGAAUGAUAGAAUCUAUGCACUGCUGAGAAGUUUGAAAGAACAGAUGAAAGAAGCUGGUUAUGUUCCAGAAACGAAAUUUGUUUUGCAUGAUAUAGAUCAGGAAAGUAAGGAAGAAGCUCUUCUUGCUCAUAGUGAGAGGCUUGCUCUUGCUAAUGGUCUCCUCACUACUCCAGCUCGUGGACAGGUUCGUAUAAUAAAGAAUCUUCGUGUUUGUGGUGAUUGCCAUGCUGCAUUUAAGAUCAUGUCAAAGAUUGUUGGCAGAAUGAUCAUAAUGCGAGAUGCUAAGAGGUUUCAUCAUUUCAGUGAAGGGAUAUGUUCUUGUCGAGAUUAUUGGUGAUUAAAAUAGAACUUGAGAACAUCCAAAUGCUUUGGAUUCAAUAUGCUAACAGCCAAAUUCACUUUUAUGGCCUAUGACUACUCUCCACGCAGGGGAAGCUGGUGCCAAUUUGGUACCUUCACAUCUUUAAUCACUGGAAUGGGUGUUGUUCAGAUAGUUUCUACAACUGGGGCAGUUUAUAGGUUCCUGCACCAUCAAUUGGCUGGGAUAACACAGCUUGGUUUGAUCGGACAAGCACCGUCGUUAGUUUGCAUUCAAUCAUAGUUGGUUCAUUCAUUCACAUGUUUCAUCUUUCAAAGUUGACAAUGUCAGCAAAAGCCGGCAGCCUAUUAUUUUGCCAUUUAUAUUCAGUUUGAGUGCAAAGUGCAGUGUGCGAAAUCAGGAAAUAACUCAUUCGAGCAGCAGCAUAAACGCAGGUAAUGUAAUUUUCUUACUAACUCAUACGAGCGUAAAUGAACAUUUUGAUUAAGAUAUGGAUAUAGAUAUAGACACAGUUGUAGGAAUCCUU